GUCGCUGGCUUGGGGGUAUCCCAUUAAAGUGUAGUGUUGGACAAUGCCAUAGCUUUGAUAAAACUCAAUAAAUUUGAAGCCUGAGAACUAACGUCUGUUGUCAGUAAUCAGCAUCUACGGAAAACUAAAUCGAUAAAUAAUAAACUUCCAGACAAAGUCUAUUACUCUAGCUUUGGUGAUCUUGGUAAGAGAUUCAGCUUCUACCCAAUUCUUUCUCUGAUCCGAUGCUAGUGGAAAGGGGCCUAGAAUUUUGUUCUCCACUGUGCGAAUGGCCAAGGAGCGGCUAUCGGGACUCAUGGAACAGCUGAUCGAUGCUGAAUGUUAAUAUUUCGUUGACACCGAUCGCAUCGCUAGGUGAAAUCAGCCGCAUCAUCUUGUAUCGUAGGCCAGUAGUACUCUUGUCGAAGUAUCUUAUAGGCCAAUGACAUGCCGUCGAGGUGAUUUACACAUCC
rnacentral:lncRNA from 1 species